rnacentral:rRNA from 1 species
UACGUAGGGAGCAAGCGUUGUCCGGAAUCAUUGGGCGUAAAGCGCGCGUAGGCGGCCUCAUAAGUCCGUUGUGAAAGUCAAAGGCUCAACCUUUGAAAGCCGAUGGAUACUGUGAGGCUAGAGUCCGGAAGAGGCGAGUGGAAUUCCUGGUGUAGCGGUGGAAUGCGCAGAUAUCAGGAGGAACACCGAUGGCGAAGGCAGCUCGCUGGGACGGUACUGACGCUGAGACGCGAAAGCGUGGGGAGCGAACAGG